rnacentral:rRNA from 1 species
AACGAACGCUGGCGGCAUGCCUAACACAUGCAAGUCGAACGGGAUCCAGGCUUCGGCCUGGUGAGAGUGGCGGACGGGUGAGUAACGCGUGGGAACCUGCCCAAUGGUCUGGGAUAACCGCGGGAAACUGCGGCUAAUACCGGAUAAGCCCGAGAGGGGAAAGAUUUAUCGCCGAUGGAGGGGCCCCGCGUCCGAUUAGGUAGUUGGUGAGGUAAUGGCUCACCAAGCCGACGAUCGGUAGCUGGUCUGAGAGGAUGAUCAGCCACACUGGGACUGAGAUACGGCCCAGACUCCUACGGGAGGCAGCAGUGGGGCAAUAUUGGACAAUGGGGGCAACCCUGAUCCAGCAAUGCCGCGUGAGUGAUGAAGGCCUUAGGGUUGUAAAGCUCUUUUGGCGGGGACGAUGAUGACGGUACCCGCAGAAUAAGCCCCCGGCUAACUUCGAGCCAGCAGCCGCGGUAAUACGAAGGGGGUCGAGCGUUGUUCGGAAUUACUGGGCGUAAAGGGCGCGUAGGCGGCGACUCAAGUUAGAUGUGAAAGUCCUGGGCUUAACCUGGGGACUGCAUUUGAUACUGGGUUGCUUGAAUUCGGGAGAGGAUAGCGGAAUUCCCAGUGUAGAGGUGAAAUUCGUAGAUAUUGGGAAGAACACCGGUGGCGAAGGCGGCUAUCUGGACCGACAUUUGACGCUGAGGCGCGAAAGCGU